rnacentral:tRNA from 2 species
GCCAGAGUGGUGGAAUUGGUAGACACGACGGAUUCAAAAUCCGUUGGGGUAAAACCCGUGCCGGUUCAAGUCCGGCCUCUGGUACCA